rnacentral:rRNA from 1 species
GAUUAGANNCCUGGUAGUCACGCCGUAAACGAUGAGUGCUAAGUGUUAGAGGGUUUCCGCCCUUUAGUGCUGAAGUUAACGCAUUAAGCACUCCGCCUGGGGAGUACGGCCGCAAGGCUGAAACUCAAAGGAAUUGACGGGGGCCGCACAAGCGGUGGAGCAUGUGGUUUAAUUCGAAGCAACGCGAAGAACCUUACCAGGUCUUGACAUCCUCUGAAAACCCUAGAGAUAGGGCUUCUCCUUCGGGAGCAGAGUGACAGGUGGUGCAUGGU